UGGGGAAUAUUGCACAAUGGGCGGAAGCCUGAUGCAGCGACGCCGCGUGGGGGAUGAGGGCCUUCGGGUUGUAAACUCCUUUCGACAGGGACGAAGCUUUUGUGACGGUACCUGUAUAAGAAGCACCGGCUAACUACGUGCCAGCAGCCGCGGUAAUACGUAGGGUGCGAGCGUUGUCCGGAAUUACUGGGCGUAAAGAGCUCGUAGGUGGUUUGUCGCGUCGUCUGUGAAAUUCCGGGGCUUAACUCCGGGCGUGCAGGCGAUACGGGCUGACUUGAGUGCUGUAGGGGAGACUGGAAUUCCUGGUGUAGCGGUGAAAUGCGCAGAUAUCAGGAGGAACACCGAUGGCGAAGGCAGGUCUCUGGGCAGUAACUGACGCUGAGGAGCGAAAGCAUGGGUAGCGAACAGGAUUAGAUACCCUGGUAGUCCAUGCCGUAAACGGUGGGCGCUAGGUGUAGGGGGCUUCCACGUCUUCUGUGCCGUAGCUAACGCAUUAAGCGCCCCGCCUGGGGAGUACGGCCGCAAGGCUA
rnacentral:rRNA from 1 species